AUACGUAGGGGGCGAGCGUUGUCCGGAAUGAUUGGGCGUAAAGGGCGCGUAGGCGGCCUGUUAAGUCUGGAGUGAAAGUCCUGUUUUCAAGAUGGGAAUUGCUUUGGAUACUGAUGGGCUUGAGUGCAGGAGAGGUUAUCGGAAUUCCCGGUGUAGCGGUGAAAUGCGUAGAGAUCGGGAGGAACACCAGUGGCGAAGGCGGGUAACUGGACUGCAACUGACGCUGAGGCGCGAAAGUGUGGGGAGCAAACAGGAUUAGAUACCCUGGUAGUCCACACUGUAAACGAUGAAUGCUAGGUGUAAGAGGUAUCGACCCCUUUUGUGCCGGAGUUAACACAAUAAGCAUUCCGCCUGGGGAGUACGGCCGCAAGGUUGAAACUCAAAGGAAUUGACGG
rnacentral:rRNA from 1 species